CCUGCCACGCCUCUCAGUGAUGCGCAAUCUGGCGGGU
rnacentral:sRNA from 12 species